rnacentral:rRNA from 1 species
GUGGAUUAGUGGCGAACGGGUGAGUAACACGUGGGCAAUCUGCCCUUCACUCUGGGACAAGCCCUGGAAACGGGGUCUAAUACCGGAUAACACUCCCGCCCGCAUGGGCGGGGGUUGAAAGCUCCGGCGGUGAAGGAUGAGCCCGCGGCCUAUCAGCUUGUUGGUGAGGUAGUGGCUCACCAAGGCGACGACGGGUAGCCGGCCUGAGAGGGCGACCGGCCACACUGGGACUGAGACACGGCCCAGACUCCUACGGGAGGCAGCAGUGGGGAAUAUUGCACAAUGGGCGCAAGCCUGAUGCAGCGACGCCGCGUGAGGGAUGACGGCCUUCGGGUUGUAAACCUCUUUCAGCAGGGAAGAAGCGCAAGUGACGGUACCUGCAGAAGAAGCGCCGGCUAACUACGUGCCAGCAGCCGCGGUAAUACGUAGGGCGCAAGCGUUGUCCGGAAUUAUUGGGCGUAAAGAGCUCGUAGGCGGCUUGUCACGUCGGGUGUGAAAGCCCGGGGCUUAACCCCGGGUCUGCAUUCGAUACGGGCUAGCUAGAGUGUGG